rnacentral:lncRNA from 1 species
CAGAACAAUGACAUGAAAAGACAGUUUCUGCUGGAGCGACUGCUGGAUGCAGUGAAACAGUGCCAGAUCCGCUUUGGAGGGAGAAAAGAGAUCGCCUCGGAUUCUGACAGCAGGGUGACCUGUCUGUGUGCCCAGUUUGAGGCCGUCCUGCAGCAUGGCCUGAAGAGGAGUCGAGGAUUAGCCCUCACAGCAGCCGCGAUCAAACAGGCAGCCGGCUUUGCCAGCAAAACCGAAACAGAUCUUUCCUGGCUUAUCACUUCUACACCCUCAAACGUUAAAUAUUAUUUAUCCUCGGAUUCUGUGGUUGACUCUCAUUUCUACACAUCCUGUCUGAAUUCCUGGGGGAGCAUUGCUGUCUCUGCGUGGAUGACUCGAAGUUAGAUCUCCCACAGAUCAUGCCCUGCCUUUCUCUUGGGUCUCUCCGUGUGGGUGUACUGCGAGCUCAUCAAAGUCUCCAAGACUGAACCCCCUACCCCCAGCCCCGUGUUCGUCCUGUGUUCCUUGCUCAGUGAGUGGUUCUGCCAGGUUUCUGGCCAGCCCUUGGGCUUCCUCCCAGCCUCCUCUUCCUUUUUCCCUCACAACUGCUCAGACUUCUAUUUUUCUCUUCCUGUCUUUUUAAAAUUGUCAUAAAAUGUAUAUAACAUAAACAUGACUCUUUUAACCAUUUCUGAGUGUACAUUUCAAAGGCAUUAAGUACAUUCUCAUUGUACAACCAUCACCACCACCCACAUCCAGAACGUUUUUUCUUUUUUUGUCUUUUUGCCUUUUCUUGAGCUGCUCCCGUGGCACAUGGAGGUUCCCAGGCUAGGGGUCUCGUCGGAGCUGUAGCUGCCAGCCUACGCCAGAGCCACAGGAAUGCGGGAUCCGAGCCGCAUCUGCGACCUACACCACAGCUCACGGCAACGCCGGAUCGUUAACCCACUGAGCAAGGCCAGGGAUGGAACCUGCAACCUCAUGGUUCCUAGUCGGAUUCGUUAACCACUGCCACGACGGGAACUCCCAGAACCUUUUGUCAUCUUCCCAAGCAGAGAGCCCGUCUCCGUCAAGUGGUAACUUUCUGUGUGGCCCUCCCGCUGGCCCCUGGCAAGCACCGUUCUGCUUACGUCUCUGUGAAUUUGACUGCUCCAGGUGCUUUAUAUAAGUAGACUCAUACAGUAUUUGUCCUGCUGUGUUUGGCUUAUUUCGUUUGGUGUGAUGUCUUUAAGCUUUGCGCAUUUGUAGCACGUGUCAGAAUUCCCUUCCUUUUAAAGACUGAACAGUUUCCAUUGAUGGAUAGCCCACGCUUUGUUUAUUCACUCCUCUGUCGAUGGACACCUGGCCUGCUUCCGCUCGCUGGCUGUUGGGAGGAAUGUGGCCAUGGACAUGAGGGUACAGAUAAUGUUUGAGUCCCUGCUUUCAGUUCUUUAGGGUAAAUACUUGUAGGUGAAAUUGCAGGAUCUGAGGGUAAUUCUGUGUUUAAUUUUUUUUUUUUUUUGGCUUCACCCUUAGCAUGUGGAAGUUCCUUGGCCAGGGAUCGAACAUGAACCACAGCAGUGAUAACACCGAGUCUUUAACCUGCUAGGCCAGCAGGGAACUCGUUCUAUGUUUAAUUUUUUGAAGAGCCACCAUACUGUUUUCUGUACUGGCUGCUCCAUUUUCAUGUCCCAUGAGCAAUGCCCAAGAGUUCCAGCUUCUCCUCAUUCUCUUCAGCACUUGUUAUUUUUCUGAGUUUUUGAUAAUGGCCACUUCGCAUGGAUGUGAAGUGGUCUCUCCUUAUGGCUUUGAUCUCAUCUGUCUGGAAGUUUCACAUUUCUCCCCAAAAGUCGUUUGCGUGCCCCCCACCAGUUUAGCUAGACGGCCCCUCUCUGAGAGGUCGCCCUGCCCCGCCCCCAUUGUCCUGAGUCCUCCUCUCACCAAACCUCCAUGGGGCACCCCCUGGAGUCUGGGCUCCCUGUCCCGGGGGUCGAGGGCCGGGUCCAUUGCUCACCUUUGUAGCUCCAGUGUAUUGCAAAGAGCCUGGUCACCCACAGACCAAGGACAUUUAGAAGAAUGCCUGGAGCAUCCAGACCUCAGGAUGUGCUGCUUAUUCUCGAGGGAGGCCAGACCCGCCUCCUUCCGUCUGGACGCUUCACGGUUGAGAGCAGGUGGUAUUAAUACUUGCCCAGCUGUGCGAUUAGAGAACCCGCUUCCUUGAUCCUCGGUGGGGAUUUUUGAACGUGGUUGGUGGCAUUUAACUCAAAUCAGAAGUUAUAUUUUGCUUCACCGGGUCAACCUGGGUAACAGUUUCAUCUCUGAAGAAAAUUAAUUGCGGAGGAAGCUGCAUGUGCCAGGAGAGCCCAGGCCCGUCCUUCUGUUGGUGAGGGGAAGUCCACUCCCCGCCGGCCCAUCCCUGUCCUGUUUCAGUUCCCUCUGUGGAACUCAUGCACUUGCAAAUCAGCUCGUUCUGGGGAAAAGACGUUGGUGGGAUGUCUGCGGAAGGGGCCGAGAAAAUGGCCAGGACUGGUGGUCAACAGCUGGUGGGCAAAUGCUGGCCUUGCGGAGGGAGCCAGAACCGCAGUGCUGACCCCCGCAGGUGAGGGGUUGACCAGAGUUGCUGGAUUUGGGCCAUGUCCACAGGGUCCCGGCGAGGGUCCUUGACAGCUGGGGAGGCAGAGAGCCCUGGGCCAGUGGCCUUUUACCAAGGGGCACAUUAGGAUCUGAUGUAGCUGGACCGACGCCCCUUGGCCAAAGGGGACCGCUGGCUGUUUCAAAGGUGUUUAGUCUUGACAUCCUGUGAGUUAAGACUCGGAUCUGGCCUCAGAGGUGUCAGUUUUGAGUUAUUACCCAGCCUGUUGGUUCCACGGGUCGUUUGCUCUGCUUCUGUCAGCAUGAAAGUGGCUCUUCCGUGGAGGAUGGCUUACAUCCCUAAAAGGAGACAGGACGCAGUGUUAGGGCUGCUGGAGCAGGGUUCCCUUUGCUGAUGAAGGCGGUGCCCUAGACCUGGAUGUCACUUGGGUGAAGGUCGGGUGUGCUGUGCUGAGGGGUUGGAGUUCGGAACUCAGGCUCAGAUGCUCACGGGGCCAGACAGCUGACAGAAAUGAAUGCAUCGGGCCGGCGAGGGGUGCCAGGGAGUCAUGGCACCUCUGGGUCCCCGGGCCCCUGCCAAGCAGACCGGGAUGUGUAAUCCGGCUGCGGGUUCAGGUAGAGGAGGGGAUGAGUUUGGAUGAGCAGCUAGCAGUUACCAUGGUGGAGUUUUCCUCUUCUGUAUGGAGUGGUCAGAGACACCUCUUUUUUUCCUUUCUUUUUUUUUUUGGGCUGUGCCCACAGCAUGUGAAAGUUCACAAGUCAGGAAUGGAACCCUCACCAUGGCAGUGACCUGAGCUGCUGUGUUGACAAUGCCAGAUCCUUAACCUGCUGUCCCACAAGGGAACUCCCAGAGAUACCUCUCUAUAGGGAUGUUUGAUUGGAGCCCUAAGGAACGGAGGGAGUGAGCCAGGCUGUUAUUGGGAAGGAAUUCUGAAUGGUUUAGCAGGUUCAGAUGUGUGUGACAGUUUUUUGUUUGCUGUCACGUUGGUUUCCUGCCCGUUCCCUGCAUACUGUAUUCGCCGGGUUCCCUGGUCCAUCCCAAGGGUCAGUGGUGAUGAGUUUAGAAGGUGAGGGAGGAGGGAAGCUGGGAUAUUCUUCCUCAGAGUCCUGCCUCAGGGGCAUCUCUGGCAGCGGCCGUGCUUCCUCCGUGGUCCGGGGAGGUCCCACGUGGCUCCUGGUCAGGCCUUCGUCUUGUCCUCCCACAUUGCUCCUGGCUGCUUCUGCCCUGAUCCAGCUGCUGCUCUGUCACCGCCUUUGCCUUGUGUCACCGUGGUUCCCUGGGAUAACUGGUGUCAGAAAGCCCAGCUGUCAUCCCCAGGUGGCCUCAUUAUCUCCUCUGUCUUUCUGGCUUUUCCUGCGUCUCUGUAGCACAUGUCCUGCGUGAAGUGCCUCCAGUGGCCUAGCUGGUCUGGCUUCUGUUUUCCUGGCCCUACAGGCCCUGAGGGGAACAGACUUGGCCUGUUGGGGGAACAGCCUGGAGAAGCAAGGCUGUCAUGGGGGGAGUGACAGGAGCCAGGACCCAGGUGAGGCAGAGAGGUGGUGAGAAGCCUGGUCCUGUGUGGCAGUAAGUGGAGUUUAUCCUCCGCUUCUUGAUGUAUUUUCGUGACCUCCUUUCACCCCCACCAAGAUAACUGGUGCUUGUUGUGUAGUCAGUAGGGAUGUUGACAUUUAAAUCUGCGGAAGUCUUCGGAAGCCAUCCGGCAUCUCAUCAAGUUCUGAGUUAUACACGUUAAAGUGGUGAAUUUUACAUUAAGUGUGAAUUAUGCUACAAUUAAAAAAACCCUCUGGAAGUGGC